rnacentral:rRNA from 1 species
GAGUUUGAUCAUGGCUCAGGACGAACGCUGGCGGCGUGCUUAACACGUGCAAGUCGAACGGAAAGGCCCCCACUUUUUUGGUGGGGGUGCUCGAGUGGCGAACGGGUGAGUAACACGUGGGUGAUCUGCCCUGUACUUCGGGAUAAGCUUGGGAAACUGGGUCUAAUACCGGAUAGGACCAUGGUUUAGUGUCUCAUGGUGGAAAAAUAUUGUUUUGGUGCAGGAUGAGCUCGCGGCCUAUCAGCUUGUUGGUGGGGUAAUGGCCUACCAAGGCGUCGACGGGUAGCCGGCCUGAGAGGGUGGACGGCCACAUUGGGACUGAGAUACGGCCCAGACUCCUACGGGAGGCAGCAGUGGGGAAUAUUGCACAAUGGGCGCAAGCCUGAUGCAGCGACGCCGCGUGGGGGAUGACGGCCUUCGGGUUGUAAACUCCUUUCGUUAGGGACGAAGCCGCACCUUUCUUUGGGUGUGGUGACGGUACCUUUGUUAAGAAGCACCGGCUAACUACGUGCCAGCAGCCGCGGUAAUACGUAGGGUGCGAGCGUUGUCCGGAAUUACUGGGCGUAAAGAGCUCGUAGGUGGUUUGUUGCGUCGUCUGUGAAAUUCCGGGGCUUAACUUCGGGGUGGCAGGCGAUACGGGCAUAACUAGAGUGCUGUAGGGGAGACUGGAAUUCCUGGUGUAGCGGUGGAAUGCGCAGAUAUCAGGAGGAACACCGAUGGCGAAGGCAGGUCUCUGGGCAGUAACUGACGCUGAGGAGCGAAAGCAUGGGGAGCGAACAGGAUUAGAUACCCUGGUAGUCCAUGCUGUAAACGGUGGGCGUUAGGUGUGGGGACCGGUUUGGUUUCUGUGCCGUAGCUAACGCAUUAAGCGCCCCGCCUGGGGAGUACGGCCGCAAGGCUAAAACUCAAAGGAAUUGACGGGGGCCCGCACAAGCGGCGGAGCAUGUGGAUUAAUUCGAUGCAACGCGAAGAACCUUACCUGGGUUUGACAUGCACCAGACGGUUGUAGAGAUACGUACCUCCCUUUGUGGUUGGUGUGCAGGUGGUGCAUGGUUGUCGUCAGCUCGUGUCGUGAGAUGUUGGGUUAAGUCCCGCAACGAGCGCAACCCUUGUCUUAUGUUGCCAGCACUUUGGGUGGGGACUCAUGAGAGACUGCCGGGGUUAACUCGGAGGAAGGUGGGGAUGACGUCAAAUCAUCAUGCCCUUUAUGCCCAGGGCUUCACACAUGCUACAAUGGUUAGUACAACGCGCUGCGAACCUGUGAGGGUGAGCGAAUCGCUGAAAGCUAAUCUCAGUUCGGAUUGGGGUCUGCAACUCGACCCCAUGAAGUCGGAGUCGCUAGUAAUCGCAGAUCAGCAAUGCUGCGGUGAAUACGUUCCCGGGCCUUGCACACACCGCCCGUC